AUUAGUAUAAAUUUUGAAAACAAUUUAUCUUGAAAGUUUUUUAAUUUGUAGGAAAUGUUUGGGAAUGAGGUGAAGUCGGGGAGCGCAAAAGCAAGCCCUACUUGCAUAAUACGACCAAUUUCAUUUUCGAGAAAUCCUAGCACC
ensembl:ncRNA R151.16 ncRNA